CAGCCGCCACGGUAAUACGUAGGUGGCGAGCGUUGUCCGGAUUUAUUGGGCGUAAAGGGAGUGUAAGCGGUCUUUUAAGUCUGAUGUGAAAGCCCACGGCUCAACCGUGGAGGGUCAUUGGAAACUGGGAGACUUGAGUGCAGAAGAGGAGAGCGGAAUUCCAUGUGUAGCGGUGAAAUGCGUAGAUAUAUGGAGGAACACCAGUGGCGAAGGCGGCUCUCUGGUCUGUAACUGACGCUGAGGCUCGAAAGCGUGGGGAGCAAACAGGAUUAGAUACCCCCGUAGUCCCUGUCUCUUAUAA
rnacentral:rRNA from 1 species